rnacentral:rRNA from 1 species
UACGAAGGGGGCUAGCGUUGUUCGGAAUCACUGGGCGUAAAGCGCACGCAGGCGGAUCGAUAAGUCGGGGGUGAAAGCCCGGGGCUCAACCUCGGAAUUGCCUUCGAUACUGUCGGUCUCGAGUCCGGGAGAGGUGAGUGGAAUUCCUAGUGUAGAGGUGAAAUUCGUAGAUAUUAGGAAGAACACCAGUGGCGAAGGCGGCUCACUGGCCCGGUACUGACGCUCAGGUGCGAAAGCGUGGGGAGCAAACAGG